rnacentral:rRNA from 1 species
AUACGGAAGGUCCGGGCGUUAUCCGGAUUUAUUGGGUUUAAAGGGAGCGCAGGCGGAGAUGCAAGCGUGACGUCAAAUUUCGGGGCUCAACCCCGUCUCGCGUCGCGAACUGCGUCCCUUGGUUGCGGGAGGGGCGGCGGAACUCGUGGGGUAGCGGUGGAAUGCAUAGAUAUCACGAAGAACUCCGAUCGCGAAGGCAGCCUUCCGGCCCGUCAACGACGCUCAUGCUCGAAGGUGCGGGUAUCAAACAGGAUUAGAUACCCUGGUAGUCCGCACAGUAAACGAUGGACACCCGCGGUUUGGCCUAUAUGGCUGAGCCGCCAAGCGAAAGCGUUAAGUGUCCCACCUGGGGAGUACGCCGGCAACGGUGAAACUUAAAGGAAUUGACGGGG